UUGGAGGGCAAGUCUGGUGCCAGCAGCCGCGGUAAUUCCAGCUCCAAUAGCGUAUAUUAAAGUUGUUGCAGUUAAAAAGCUCGUAGUUGAAUUUCGGGGUUAGUAGGUUGGUCAUGCCUCUGGUAUGUACUGGUCUCACCGAUUCCUCCUUCCUUAUGAACCGUAAUGCCAUUAAUUUGGUGUUGCGGGGAAUUUGGACUGUUACUUUGAAAAAAUUAGAGUGUUUAAAGCAAGCUAACGCUUGAAUACAUUAGCAUGGAAUAAUGAAAUAGGACGUUACG
rnacentral:rRNA from 1 species